CGGACAUUUGACGUAUCAUGAGGAUAUCCAGUUGAUGCGGAUAAAUCAUGACUUGUGGAAUCGCGUACAAUCACCACCUGUCAGUGAACUCUAUCCACACUAGAGGUGGGGGUGUUGUACUGAAAUAGUUUUUGGGACAGGUUUUUCCUAAUGGACGACGUUUUGUUUGUCGAGUAUUUAAAAGCACGGACUCUAUUUUUCGAAAUAUAACAAAUAUGAAGUUGCCAACACCUCGUACCUCCAUUCUUAUUUUUACUUUAAGUAAAAUAUUUUUUUGUUAACAGACAGUCGUCUGGGUGUCUGUUGGAUCAAAAAAUAAUGGAAAUAAUUUUUACAUUGUUAAUAUGUCAUUUGAUUAAUGGCCUUGGCUCAAAACGUCACGAUACGUCAGAUCAGACUAAUGAAAAGUCGAUAUUUGCAUAAAUAACCCUUAUUUGUAAGUCGCUUAAGUACGGUAAACACGUAAAUUGCCUAUUUGGGGUGGUACACGUAAAACUGGUAUUUUCAUAGAAACGUACUUUUGGUACGCAUUUUGCCAACGUGUCCCAGCUCUAGUUAGGAUCACAAUGUAUCGCAAGUUGUUACAUUUGACAACUUGUGAUCGUAACUGUCAAUGAAACUAGACUUUUUUGUCGAUGGGUAUGGCUGCCAUAUUUGGAUUUAUGACAUUCAAAAGGGGAUCCUACGGCAUAGAGUAAACUGCAUGCUCAUUUUUCUACAAUACUUUGAUUCUUCUACUGGACGCAAGAUGGAGUUAGCAGUCAAAUUUCGAUCUUGGCGUUAUAAAAGUAAACCGCAAGAACAUGACAUGCAGUUGCGUGGGUGUAGAUCUAUCAUGAAACGAACAUGUGACAAUUGUCUAUGAUUAAAAAAAUAAUUGACAAAUAAUAAUAUAAAGCGAUACAAUACUACUUCAAAAUGGCAAAAAGAAAACAGAUUUAUUAUAAACAUACUUACAAAUCAUAUAGGUAAAAAGUAUAAUUUUUAAACCAAUGGUCGUGGGUCCUAACCCCGGCUAUUAACAAUGACUUUGUUGUAACUAUCUUAACCAAUUGCUUUUCUGUGAAGUAAAAUAAUUAUCAUGAGGAAGAUGGAGUAGCCACAAUAAGGUAUAUAUUUUUCCCCUCUGGGUUAGAUGGCAGGGAGAGAUAGUGGAGAAAGCGGCAAAAUAAGCAUUUAUUGUGUUGUUAAAAGCCCUAAGCCAUGAGCCAGGGUAUGUGAGGUGCAUGAUUACUUGAUUAGGGGCUAAACUCUGGAAAACCGGACCUUCGGCGACUAGCUGCCAACUUUCCCAACUCACUUUUACAUCAGCUCCUUUGAUUAAUAAAUUCAGGUAAAAUUCGUAAGAACUAAGUGCCUGUGCCAUUCUCUACAUUGGACGCUAUGCCUAAUUAGUUGUUAUUGAUGUUGAAUUUUCAGUGGCAUAUAAGACACCGGUCGUAUAACGACUUAGAAAUUUGGAUGUUUUCAGUUUGAAUGAAUAGCAAACUGGAGAGUUUUUGAUUAAUUUAAAACUUAUUAUUUUAGGUAUUUUGUGACGAAAGGUCUUCACAGACAUCGACAGAAAAUCGGGAAAGCCCGGCCAGAUGCGUCAGACCACGCAAAAUGGAGGAUUCCAUGCCUACUUGUCUUCUUCUACCAUGUAUAGGAACGCAUGAAAAACGAAAGUUUAAAAGAUAAUAAAUUUACGAUGGCUGUGGGAAAGCAACAAUAAUUUAAAGCAUCGAUAUAAGAUAAUCAUCUAUAAACUGUUUUCGGCCAUAGCGAAUACGUUUACCGCUAAGAAUGUCUCAAAGUAAAAAAAAGAAGUUCAAUAUACUGGCAUUGGUUUCACCAAGAACGAUGAGCGAGAAGCGAUUAGAAAUAUAAAACUGGAAACGAGUUGGGGCGUCCGGCUGCGACCGAAGCGAGUUUUUGAAUGCGAGUUUGACGUUUUAAACACCGUAUUUAAGGUUAAUAAGGUCUACAAGCUUCGAGAAGGAGGUCAACCGCCGAAUCCAACUUGGUUGGGCAGCGUUCGGGAAACUACGUAAUGUCUUUUCGUCCGACAUACCUCAGUGCCUCAAGACGAAAGUCUUUAAUCAAUGUGUGUUACCAGUGAUGACUUACGGCUCCGAAACGUGGUCUUUCACUAUCGGCCCCAUCUCAAAAUUCAAAGUCGCUCAACGAGCUAUGGAGAGGGCUAUGCUCGGAGUUUCUCUGCGUGAUCGAAUCAGAAAUGAGGAGAUCCGUAGACGAACUAAAGUCACCGACAUAGCCCACCGGAUUAGCAGGCUGAAGUGGCAAUGGGCAGGCCACAUUGCGUGCAGAGAAGAUGGCCGAUGGAGUCGAAAAGUGCUCGAGUGGAGACCACGGACUAGCAAACGCAGCGUAGGACGUCCACCCACAAGAUGGACGGACGACCUUGUUAAGGCCGCCGGAAGACGCUGGAUGCGGAUCGCUUCCAACCGGUACGAGUGGAGGUCCAAGGGGGAGGCCUAUGUUCAGCAGUGGACGUCUUAUGGCUGAGAUGAUGAUGAUGAUGAUGAAGGUCUACAAGCAAAUAUCAGCCUUCGUGAAUUAAGUAUUGUAACCUUAGUCACAGAAUAGUAGUACAGUGGAACCUCGAUAGCACGGAUCUCAAGGGAAACGCCAAAACUUCGUGUUAACGAGGUUUUAUCUUAUAGAGUGCAUCGACUUAGAGAGGUUCUUGUAGGUUUUUGUUAGUCUUAAAAACACAUUAAAAUUCGUGUUAGGCAGGUGAUUAUACAUAGACACGUAAAAAUACAGUUUCUUUUUUUUUGAGUUACAGAGGUUCGUUAGUAAUAUCGAUAUAGAUGUGGUAAAACAAUACGACUAUUUUUUCUAGUUGCAUGGUCUCUCCGACCGCCAAGCGAACAUCGCUUAGCGAGUACCUACCGCUAAGCGACUUUAUCGUUGACAGCUUUUAUCGCUGCGAGUAAAGAGUGCAAAGAGAGUCCUCGCCGGCAAUGUGAACAGCCAGCGAUCAACUAUUAAUAUAGGUACCUAUCUAUUGUCUUUUACCGACACGGAAUCUCUAUCUUAUCGCUUACACGCCCUUGGUGCUUGGACUAGUGCAUAUCCAUACUUAAUAUUAUAAAGGCGAAAGUGUGGCUGUCUGUUUGUCUGUCUUGUCUGUUACCUCUUCACGCUUAAGCCACUGAACCGAUUUAUUUGAAAUAGGUAUGGUAUAGAGAUUGGUAUUAUAGUCCCGAGGAAGGACAUAGGAUAGUUUUUAUUCCAGAAAUCAUCCCUUAAAGGGGUGGAACUUUGUAUGGGGACUUAACACAAACUGGACAACAAACUUUGUCAAUAGGAACUGUCCCGCCCGCGCGGUGUAGCACCGGUGCUGGU